UGUGUAUAUCUUAUACCUACAUAAUUGAAUUUAUGAAUGUGGUGGUAUGGACUAACCAUGUUAUAUUGGUCGCCCUGUCACGGGCCGGAAAUGUGACCAUGGUUAGUCUAGGUCGGAUAUAAGAUGGAAAAAGGAAUUGAUGUGUGUAUGUGAAUUGGUUAAAUGAGUAGGAACUUUGGGCUUAUCUCGUUAGUAUUGAUUGCCCCAUCAUCGGCUGGAAAUGUGAUAUUAUCGAUUGCCCCGUCACAGGCUGGAAAUGUGAUACUAUCGAUUGCCCCAUCACAGGCUGAAAAUGUGAUACCAUCGAUUACCCCAUCACAGGCUAGAAAUGUGAUACUAUCGAUUGCCCUGUCACGGGCCGGAAACGUGACCAGGAUGUAGCCCAAAGUCGGAAAGAUAAUUGAUCCGGAUCAAGUUAACAUAGAAUGGAAAGAAAAAGCAUCGAAAACAGUAAUGAAGAUUUAUGAGCUAUCAUAUGCUAUAUCAUUCUUGUGUGACUGGACUCUUAUUGAUGUUUGAUAUACAUAAUUAUUGAUUAUUUGAGUCUUUUGGAAACUGCUUAUGAUUUCAUGAAAUGUGCAUCGAUUUGUCGUAGUUUUCAAAUUAAUAUUAUUAUUGUGUUGGUAUGGAUGUGUAGGGAUUCUUACUGAGCUGUAAAGCUCACCCCUCUUCUUCUUUUUUUUUCUUUACCAGAGUUGCAGGAUGCAUAGAUUUGGAUGGGAUGGGCGCAGAGUGCAAGUACCAGAGUUAUUAGUUAGUUAGUUUGUUUAUCCUUCUUCGUUGUUGAUGAACAUUUGAAGAUCUUGUAAUUGAACUAAUUUGUUUAUUUGGACAUAUCGGAUUUGUCUAUUUGAAUUAUCAAUUUCUUGUGGAUUUAUUGGAAUUUUUGUUAAUCAUAGGCCUUACAUGAUCUUUAGGGCACUGCUCUAGGGCGCAUGCAGCCGGUCGCGCACCGGACCCCGGGUGCUGGGUUCGGGGCGUGACAGAGUGGUAUCAGAGCUUAAGAUUAAGGUAUCUUAGGGUUUAUGUUCUGGUGAGUGUGAGUGGGGAAUUAUGAUAGGAAAACUAUCAAAGCCUUGGUUUAUAAUCACUUGAGAUUGUAAUAGGAAUGAUAUUGUAAUCUAAGGUUUAAGACCACUAGGGACUAUGGCCUUAAUGGCAUUAGAGUUUGAGGUUUAAGGUCAUUGGGGAUAGUGACAAAAUUGGAAUCCGAGCAUAUGUUUAAGAUCAUUAGGGAUUGUGAUAGAAAUAUUUCAUAGCUUAAGGUUAUGAUCACUUGGGACAUGACAAUUAAAUUCAGUGCUUAAGGUGUAAGAUUACUUGGCAUUGUGAUAAAAUGUAUGCAUCGGGUUUGGUUUUCGAUGAGUGUAGAAAGAAAGUAUAAAUUGUCAUUGAUAAUGAUAAGAGAGAUUUGACCUAAGAUUAGUGUAGGAAGGUCAAUAUUGGUAUAUCGGUUAUACCAUGUUCAGAUAUUAAUUAAAUGACCUAGAAGUUUAGACUUGAUAUGGGUUUUGAUGUGAUUGUACUUUUGGUUUUUGCUGCUAAUUAUUAGAGUGGGGUUUGUAUGUAGAUCUUUCAUAGUAUUGGAGUGAGCUAAGAAGAUUUCAUAAUAUUGAAAGGAAUGUUCUUCGAAGUUGAAUAUGUAUGUGGAUUAUAUUUGGCAUUGGCAUGUUGGAUAUUGCAAAUAGGUCCAUUUUCUAUUGAUGUAUUUGAUUAUUUUGAGGUCAUAGAAUAUGCAUAUUGAUGGAAAAAUUCUAAUUAUUUGAAUUCUCAUAUUUGGAUUGGGCUACUGGAUUUUACUUAUAAUCGUAGAAGACUAUUUGAUGUGUUAAUUUAAAACUAAAGCCUAGGUUUAAGAUUUGAGCAGGGAUCUUUUGUCAUUGUUGAUGAAGCCACUAAUAAAUGUCAUAUUGAGUAAAAACUUCGGUCAUGAGAUGCUUAUAUGAAUUAUCAUAUAUAGCAUUGCUGAUGGAUGUUAAGAACCUUGGUGAAGAAAGAUUUGAAGAUUGAUAGAGUUAAUUUCUGCUCAUAAUGAUAUUGGCUCAAUGACUUUUAACCCAUUGAAUUUGAAGUAAAUCCUUUUGGAAGGAAGGUCAAUCUAAAUUAUGUAAUUGAAUUGCUAAGGAAUCCAGAGUUAAUUAAAUCUGGAUAUUUUGGAUUUUAAGUUGUGAAGAUCAUGUAGUGACCUUAAACUUGAUUAAUGGCUUGAGGAUUAGUUAUGGUUAGUAUACUCUUCAUAAAUUGAGGACAGAGAGAUUUGGAGGUUCCGCUCAAUUAAAGUUUUAAAAUUUAUUUUUUUUUUACUCCUAGUGCAAAGUGAUAUUUCGGUCAUAAAUCAUUUAGAGGCUUUAGAGUAUUUAAUGGAUUAAAUCAGAGUGCGCAGCAGAAGUGUGGUGGUUUGACUUAUUUUGAAAUAAGUUAAGGACAGUAAUAUUUGAUGUAAAAAGUAUUAUGAUGGAACACUUGAGUUAGUUUCUAGUAGAGGAGAAUGUUGUUGAUUCUAUGGACGAUUUAGAGGUAGCUAUGUAAUUUUCACCAGUGGGUUCUUAUAUUGUUGACAAUUCUUGGAAAAAUCUUGGGUAUCUUACAUUUAGCAUUAGCAGAUUGAUGAUUCCUUGGUUGGGCUUAAACUUGAAAUGUUUUAACAUGGAUCUCCUAUUUAUUAGGAUGAUGUGGGCGAGAGAAAAUUAUUAGGCCCAGAGAUAGUGCAAUAGACCAUAGAUAAGGUGCAAGUGAUCAGAGAACGACUUCGUACAGCUCAGAGUCGUCAAAAGAGUUAUGUUGAUAAUAGGAGAGAACCGAAAUUUUAAAUUGGGGAUCAUGUUUUUUUUAAAGUGUCAGCCACUAAAGGAGUGAUGAGAUUUAGGGUUCGUGGUAAAUCGAGCUCUAAGUAUGUUGGUCCGUUUGAGCAUCCGGAAAUAUGAAAUUCAGACUCAUGUGACAAGCCAAUUUUGGAUAAGGUUGGAGAGGUGGCAUAUCGACUGGCUUUACCACCAGCUUUAUCCAGUGUACACUAUUUUUCAUGUGUCGAUGUUGAAGAAAUAUGUCCCAGACCUGAGUCAUGUGGUAGCAUAUGAGCCAUUACAUCUUCAUGAGGAUUUGACCUAUGUGGAGUUCCUAACACGAAUCGUGGACAGAAAAAAAAUCAGGUGCUUCGGUAUUGAACCAUUCCUUUUAUGAAGAUACAAUAGAACAAUCAUACGGAAAGAGAGGCUACUUGAGAGCUCGAAGAAGAAAUGAAGGUCAAGUAUCCGCAGUUAUUCGAAACCUUAGUAAAUUUCGAGGAUGAAAUUUUUUUUUAGGGGGAGAGAAUGUGAGGACCCACAUUUUUGGGGGGGAGGCCUGUGUCGGCCCGACACAUGAAACGGGAGGGAGACUCCCGAACAGAGUCUUCCCUCCCCUGUCUCAAUUGCUUCCCAAAUCCACCGGAAGAAAAAGGGGAAAAAAAACACAGAGGAAAAGGGAGAUCAAAUCCUACCUAAUUUGCAUCAAUCUCUAUCUAUAAAAGAUCCCUUUCUCCUCAUCCUAGGGCAUCAACCGGGUGCCGUUCAAAAGAAAAAGAAAGAAAAAAAGGGAUCCGUGAGAAACUUGGGUUGUUCGCCGCCGAUCUUGCGGAAGGAACUCGCCGGAGGUAAGGUGAGCAACCUCUCCUCCUUCUUCUUUGUCUUUGGGCCACCGACUCCUUGGAAUCCGGCCGGCAAGCCGCCGGACUGAUGGGGGAAAGCCGAGCCCUGUUCGGCCUUCUUCUCUCUUGUUCCGGCCGGUCGUCGCCGGGCGUGGCACCAUCGGCACCGCCGCAGGCCGACGACCAUGGGGCGUCGCCGGCCGUGGGCCGCCUGCUGCCGAGCACCCUUUUCCCCUUUCCAUCGGGAAGAAGGAAGAAGAGAGAAAGGGAAAGGGUCUUUCCAUUCCCUUCCUCUUAUUAUUUUUUUUUGUUUUUGUCUCUAGUUGGGUGCUCUCUUUACACUUGGAUCCGGGAAGAUCACGGCUUUGAGGACUCUAGAUAGUCUGGGGAUGCUAGAUUUUAGAGGAUCUUUAUAGGAUCAAACAGGGGUUCUAGAUCAUCAUAUAUUUUUGAUAAAUUUUAAUGAUGACUUGGUUCUGUAGGGAAACAAUUUAUUGGACGAUAGGACACUGAGCAGAGUCCUGCGCAUUCCGGUUCAUAGAUCACCGUGAGGGCGGGUGAUUAGUUGUCUGAGUUUUCAACAAAGGGUAAGAAUCCUUGUACGCCAAUCCUGCAUGAUAUAAAUAUUAUUGCAUCAUAUAUAUUUGAUAUGCUAUGAUCCAGACAAAGCAAAAUAGUUUUAUAUUUUAUUAUAUUUUGAUCAUGUUAGUUUGUGAUUGGUAGUAUGAUGGAUGCAUGUAUGUGUAUAUCUUAUACCUACAUAAUUGAAUUUAUGAAUGUGGUGGUAUGGACUAACCAUGUUAUAUUGGUCGCCCUGUCACGGGCCGGAAACGUGACCAUGGUUAGUCUAGGUCAGAUAUAAGAUGGAAAAAGGAAUUGAUGUGUGUAUGUGAAUUGGUUAAAUGAGUAGGGACUUUGGGCUUAUCUCGUUAGUAUUGAUUGCCCCAUCACAGGCUGGAAAUGUGAUAUUAUCGAUUGCCCCGUCACAGGCUGGGGACUUACUUUAGAAGAACAUUACUUGACAAAAUCCUGACUAAAUGCCUUAUGCAAUCUUAGAGAUGAUCAAUGGUACAAAAUAUGUUCUUCAAGUUUUGAUUUGGGGAGUUCUCACGAUACAAACAAGUUUUGCGGCCAAUUUAUUGGCAAUAAGCUGGCAGCUUGGCAGUCAUUAUUAUUUAUUCAAUUGUGAAUGGUAUUCUAAGUCACUGAUUUGACCUUGUGUGCAUAUAUAAGGUGGUAAUUGUUGUGAAAUAUAUUUUUUUGAAACU
rnacentral:lncRNA from 1 species